AGAGGAUCGCCAGAUCCUGGGCUUUGUCAUCCGGGGCCCUGGGCUCCGGGGCCUGCGCCACUGGAAUCGCUCUCCCAGGGCUGCGCAUUCCCCU
rfam:Canis lupus familiaris chromosome 14, whole genome shotgun sequence.